CCUACGGGAGGCAGCAGUGGGGAAUAUUGGACAAUGGGGGGAACCCUGAUCCAGCGACGCCGCGUGAGUGAAGAAGUAUUUCGGUAUGUAAAGCUCUAUCAGCAGGGAAGAAAAUGACGGUACCUGAAGAAGAAGCCCCGGCUAACUACGUGCCAGCAGCCGCGGUAAUACGUAGGGGGCAAGCGUUAUCCGGAUUUACUGGGUGUAAAGGGGGCGCAGACGGCGAUGCAAGCCAGGAGGGAAAGCCCGGGGCCCAACCCCGGGACUGCCCUUGGAACUGGGUGGCUAGAGUGCAGGAGGGGUAGGCGGAAUGCCUGGUGUAGCGGUGAAAUGCAUAGAUAUCAGGAAGAACACCGGUGGCGAAGGCGGCCUGCUGGACUGCAACUGACGUUGAGGCCCGAAAGCGUGGGGAGCGAACAGGAUUAGAUACCCGGGUAGUC
rnacentral:rRNA from 1 species